rnacentral:lncRNA from 1 species
GAAAAUUUCAAUUCCGAAUGGUACUUUUGUUUUUGUAUAAAUAAGUGUGAUUAUCUGAAGAGAGGCAAGCAGAACUUUGGCCUCUCCUUCCUCCUUUGUAAUAUAUACCUGUAAGUUUUUAUCUGUAUACUAACACUUAAUUUCAUCGUAUUUAAAAUAUGGUAGCUUAGAUAUUUGAAUUCAUUACUUACUUAAUAAAAUUUUACUAUGACAAUCCAAUAAAUUUCUAUAACUAAAUGAUCAUCCUUAUGUUCGAAACUUUACUUCACUUAGAAGCUAAUGACAAACUUAUCAUGUUAUUUAGCAGGACUCAAUCUGUGCACGAUCUUCCUGCUUUAUAUGCAUAAGAUCUGUGCUUAUUUGUGUGUUGAUUUAUGGAUGACAGGAGUGCAAACAGUGGAAAGAUAUGAAGAAAUAUCUCGUGGAUGUAAAGGGAAGUACGGAAGCACAGAAACCGAUGGUAUUAAUCUACAAAAGAGCCGGAAGGCAUGCAGAAAUUCUGACGCAGACCAAUAAACUGAAUAACAAAGAAACCAAUGAAAUGGAAAAUAAGGGUAUUAACCCAAUCUAUCCUCGAGAACUAGUUUAUGGUGCUCCUCAUUUGGUCAGUAAGGAUCCUGAUUCCUGCUCUAUUAUGUAAAAAUCGAUGGCAUGUUUGGCGUGAUGGAUUGUAUAUAUUGUAGAUGGUAUAAAUAAGAAAAACAAGUUAAAAUCACAAGUGUGUCGAACAUGUACUUGUAGGAUCAUGGUUAAGUGUCUGCGCUUUAGUUUUUCAUUUGUAUCCUCUGUGACUGUUAUAAAUAUUAAAAGCUUAUAAUUACCUUUUAAUUUAUAGCAACACUGGCGAAUUUUAUUC